UGAGAUUAGUUUGCAGCCCCUCUGCCUUUCCUCUCCUCUUCUUCGAGCUGCCUGAGGUGUCAGCACAAUGAUUCACGCUUGCUUUGUUUCAUUUAAAAAACUACAAAUUCUUCGAGAAUAUGUACAGAAAAUGUUCUGGAAAGAGGACUGCAUGUGGAGAGAAAGGAUUUAAAGUAUAUGCAUGGACAUAAUUGCUUAAAAAAAGAAGAGUCAGUGACGUCACACAGGAAGCUGUCUUGGAUAUUGCCUGAGGAAAGAUACUAAUGAGUGUCUGUAGCGUGGACACAUUCGAAAAUUAAAGUGCUGUGCUCUAUCCAGGACUCGCACGUUGGAUUAUUUUAGUGUUUUUCCAAGCAAAAACAUUAUCUUUGGAUUCGCUUGCACCCAGAGAUUGGACCCUUUCCUUGCCCUUAUUUUCACUUCAGAGCUCCAUGACACAGUUUGUUACUUGAGGAUGUGUUGUGGUAAACAUCCCAGACCACUCGUUUGCUCUGUUGUGUUGACAGUAAACAUUUGUUUCCUCUCGCUGCUGCAGUCAAAUUUAAUCAAAACCUCAGUCGACUGUGCAAAAAAAAACCCAGACUGAAAACACAGGCAGGUGCAGAACAACUAAAGACGUCCGAAAAUGGGAACUAUGAGGCAUGUACUACCUGGGACUGAUGCCAACUGCUGACAAAAGGCUUUACUGCACGGUGCAAGGAGCCUUCAACUCAUUUGCCUCUGAAAUGCUUCAGGAAUCGCUGGUGCUGAAGUGUUUGGCCAACUGUAGAUAAACUUGUCAGACCCUUUGGCUUUGUUACGAGACAGCAUGUAAGUACUCACUUCUGAUUUCUUUACCCGAGAUUAUUUCUCUCUCUGUCUGUUCCCCCCCCCCCCCCCCCCCCCCCCUCCACUCCCAGCCUCUAAUCCCGCUGUCAAGAGAGAUGUCUAUUUGAUGACACAUAAUCUACAGUUCAUGUGACUGAUCCCCUUUAUGUGGCGAGUUAAACUCUGUCAACUCUGUGACUUCACCUCAAGAGCUCUACUCUUCUACUCUAUACUCUACUUCUAUGCACCUUCCGGGUGGAUUUCGUAUCUUUCGUAAGCAGCACCGUGUAAGCACAAUUUUGUGACUUCAUGAUUUCUUUUCCUGCCUCCCUUUCUCCUCGCCGUCUCUCCCCUCUUGGCAGCAGGGCAAAAGUGGGCAGGGAGAGAGGAGGGCAUGGCCCAGAAACUGCUCUCAAGCCCCAGCCCCUGUUCAAGUGGGGUUGCUCGCUGGUACACUACUCAGCCUUUCCCUCGUCCUACAGGCUAAAGAGAGGGAUGUGGAAAUGCAUUCUUGUCUCCUUUCUAACCCGCCUUUUUUUUUUUUUUUCGCCGCCACCAUGGCCUAAUUCUCUGCGGGUGAACACUCGCCUGACCUGUACAAAAAAAACUCCAGGGUUGCUACGAAGGUGCGAGAAAUCCGCACCAGAUGCAACACAACGUUUCUUUCAGCCGAACUGUGGCUACUGUUAAACCACAAAAUUAAAAAGUAUACCACAUGAGUGGAAUAAGCAACUUGAAAAAUAUGUGGUUUGUAUAUCAUACAGGCAAAUCGUGUCAUUUCGUGACGUACUCUUGAACACUGCGGUUUGAUAGACCUCUUCACAAACCAGUAUGAACCAGAUCCCUCUGUUGCAAGCAUUGUUCUAUACAUGAAGGGGCUUGCGUUGUAAGAUUACAGGGUCUCGGUUUUCGAUCAAACCUUUUUUCGGUUUGUUUUUUAACCACGAGAAGCACCAAAGCUACAAAAGCAUUAUAAAAAUUAGGUACAAUAGCUAUAAAAAUAUUUUUUUUUUACUUUACAGAUUACACUCCUAACCAGACUUAUUGUGAAAUGCCUGUGUAAAACAUUUUGGCACAUGCUACUUGGUGUGCAGCUGUGUGUGGUUUUGUUUGCAUAGAGUCGAGUCAGCGUUUGUGUUUGAGUGUGCGAGAAUGACAGGUUAUGGCAUACUGUACUGUACACAAAGGGUGAAUGAAGGAAAAAAAAGGAGGAGGGCGCAGCGAGAACGGGCAGCAAGAGAGAAAAUGAACUUAUUUCCUCCUCCCACCCCCACCCCCCUCUGUUCUCCUCAGAUGAACUUGCUUGAUGACAUGUUGUUUGGAAAGCCAUAUCCUCCUCUAUUUGCGUUUCUCUCCUCGGCUCGGUUAGAGUGACUCUGUGGUUACCAGGAUCAAAGUCUCUUUUUUUUUGUGGCUGUUGCUUUUAUCAGGUCAUACUGCAUACACACAUUCAGCUUUUCCUGUUUGUUAGCAAAACAGAGUCAUGGGUUAUAAGCAGCAUUUGAUCUGAUUCUUUUUACCAAGGACGUUUUACAUAAACUACCACUUAUAACCAUUCUAGUUUGAGAGAUCCAUUUCGAGAAUCACAUCUGCAAAGUCCAGAUGUUCUACCAGUGUCCUUGCAUUUUGUUUUAAUGUGUGGAUUAUUGGAUUGGCAGGUUUCCCCGUGACAAGAUAGAGCCACGUAUGACAACAGCUCACUGAACAAACUUUCGAGAUUGUUUAAACUUUCAGGCACUUAUUGUAUCGACAUCAAGCUGCGAACUUUGACAACAACAAACCAUAAAAAGUACUUGCAAAGACUUUUUUUCACCCUGGUCUCUUGAAAGUAGUAUUGUGUGUAUAGUAAAGCUCCAUCUGUCGUACUUCAUAGAUAUGACACACAAGCCGAGAGCCAGGAAACGUCCACAGCUGGUAACAAAACGUGCACCACAAACAGCAGUCUUCCAGCCUCGUCACUCUAAUAAAACACCAUCCAAUAAACAAACCCACAAUAAUAAAGCACUUAAAAUCACUUCACUUAACAUGAAAAUAUUUAAAAAGUAGAAAGUGUCAUUGCCCUUCUGAUACAUUGUAUUUUGAUCAGAAUACAAUGAAGUAAGUUAUUAACAUAAUUAUCAUAAUUAACAGUUAUAUUAGUAGCAAUUUAGAUAUCAUGAUGCUGAAUGUAUUAAAAAGUAAACGGUCAGACACAGCACAACUACUGGCUAUAAACACUCACAGUCAAGUAGCAUUUUCAAUAGACGUGGGUUUUAGCUAAAAUUGGUUUGGUGCACUGGUUUCUGUGGUAAUAUGUCCAAUAAUACAAGCUGUGUCAUAAAUGUAAAUUUUGAAUUUGAAAAGCAAUUUAGUAUUAUUUUUAAUCAACCUACAUGACACUCGUUCCAAGUAAAAAGUGUUUCUAAUGUAGUAAAUACCCCCCACCUUUGGUGUAGGGGUAUUUUAUGUUUGUACUAGGGGUGUCGCGAUAUAACCGGUACUGACGAUAACCGGGAUAUUUAAAAAAUUAAAUAGUGAUAUCAUGUUAAUAAUACACAAAUGAUUAUAGAGUGUUUGUACAGUUAUGGUUACAGACUCUCUCUCCUUCUUCCUACACUUUUAAUUUGAGUAUAAAGGCCUUUUCAUACCAGGGGCGUGACGAAUAAACGACACGAAAAUGCGAAAUACUCGCCUGCGAACAUUAUUAUGUCUAGGGCUUUUAUUGUGAAAAGUAAGAGUGGAUCUCAUCUGUGCUGCAUUUGAAAGAAUGAAAGUUAACAAAACUCAAAAAAUUCAAACUUGUUCCGAAAAAAAGUACUUCACUAUUAUGCCGUAUAAUAUUCAUGAAGAAAAUGAAAGUACUCGUGACAAAAACAACAGUUUAGAAAAAAUGAAUUGACGUGCAAAUCAAUCACAUGAAAAAAAAAAAAAGCCCCCGGUGGGUAAAGGCCUUAAAUCAUUUGUUAAAAAGAGACAAAACGCACAAUAAACAAAGUUAAAGA